GGCACAUUUCGGGGAGCCUACACAUGCAAGCCGAGCGGUAGAGAUCUUUCGGGAUCUUGAGAGCGGCGUACGGGUGCGGAACACGUGUGCAACCUGCCUUUAUCAGGGGGAUAGCCUUUCGAAAGGAAGAUUAAUACCCCAUAAUAUUUAGAAUGGCAUCAUUUUAAAUUGAAAACUCCGGUGGAUAGAGAUGGGCACGCGCAAGAUUAGAUAGUUGGUGAGGUAACGGCUCACCAAGUCUGCGAUCUUUAGGGGGCCUGAGAGGGUGAUCCCCCACACUGGUACUGAGACACGGACCAGACUCCUACGGGAGGCAGCAGUGAGGAAUAUUGGACAAUGGGUGCGAGCCUGAUCCAGCCAUCCCGCGUGAAGGAUGACGGCCCUAUGGGUUGUAAACUUCUUUUGUAUAGGGAUAAACCUAGAUACGUGUAUCUAGCUGAAGGUACUAUACGAAUAAGCACCGGCUAACUCCGUGCCAGCAGCCGCGGUAAUACGGAGGGUGCAAGCGUUAUCCGGAUUUAUUGGGUUUAAAGGGUCCGUAGGCGGAUCUGUAAGUCAGUGGUGAAAUCUCACAGCUUAACUGUGAAACUGCCAUUGAUACUGCAGGUCUUGAGUGUUGUUGAAGUAGCUGGAAUAAGUAGUGUAGCGGUGAAAUGCAUAGAUAUUACUUAGAACACCAAUUGCGAAGGCAGGUUACUAAGCAACAACUGACGCUGAUGGACGAAAGCGUGGGGAGCGAACAGGAUUAGAUACCCUGGUAGUCCACGCCGUAAACGAUGCUAACUCGUUUUUGGAGCGCAAGCUUCAGAGACUAAGCGAAAGUGAUAA
rnacentral:rRNA from 1 species